CCUACGGGUGGCUGCAGUCGAGAAUCAUUGUCAAUGCACGAAAGUGUGAACAUGCGACGCCGCGUGGAGGAAGACGGCCUUCGGGUUGUAAACUCCUGUCAGCAGGAAGGAAUUAUCAGACAAUUAAUACCUGUUUGAUUUGACAGUACCUGCAGAGGAAGUCACGGCUAACUCUGUGCCAGCAGCCGCGGUAAUACAGAGGUGGCGAACGUUGUUCGGAUUUACUGGGCGUAAAGGGUCCGCAGGCGGUCUUGUGUGUCGGAUGUGAAAGCUCACGGCUCAACCGUGGAAUUGCAUUCGAAACUGCAAGACUAGAGUACUGGAGGGGAGAAGGGAACACUUGGUGUAGCGGUGAAAUGCGUAGAUAUCAAGUGGAACACCGGAGGCGAAGGCGCUUCUCUGGACAGAUACUGACGCUCAUGGACGAAAGUUAGGGUAGC
rnacentral:rRNA from 1 species